rnacentral:rRNA from 1 species
CACGUAGGCACCAAGCGUUGUCCGGAUUUAUUGGGCGUAAAGAGCUCGUAGGCGGUUGGGUAAGUCGGGUGUGAAAACUCCAGGCUCAACUUGGAGACGCCACCCGAUACUGCUCUGACUUGAGUUCGGUAGGGGAGUGGGGAAUUCCUGGUGUAGCGGUGAAAUGCGCAGAUAUCAGGAGGAACACCGGUGGCGAAGGCGGCAUCCUGGACCGACACUGACGCUGGAGGAGCGGAAAGCCAGGGGAGCAAACGGG